GCCUGCGCCUUGCAGCUGGAGACAAAGGGCAGGCGGCGACCAAGGGGGGGCUGUGCCCCGAGACACUUGCAAGUCGCUCGUGGCUGUACCUCGGAACGCAGGCCAGGGCGGCCCCAGCCGCGCUCCGCUCGGCUGCGCUCGACUCUGCUCCGCUCGCAGGUUGGCGGGCUCGGCCAGCCGCUUCGCUGCCCCCUCUUGCGCUCCCGCGUCCCAGUCCGGAAGCCCCGCACGCUCCCGGGCUAAAUGCCGACGCGCCCCAGACCCGGGCGUCUGCCCCGGACCGCGCUGCACCUGUUGCCACGUGCGACGCGGCGCCCCGGGCUGCUGACCGCGCACCUGCCUGAGCCGCGCGUCCCCAGAUCACGCAGGUCCCCGCGGGCGACUGGAGUUGUGCCUACUCUCGGCUCUUGCCCCCUCGCUUAUCCGUGCGAG
rnacentral:lncRNA from 1 species